GACGAACGCUGGCGGCGUGCUUAACACAUGCAAGUCGAACGGAAAGGCCCUGCUUUUGUGGGGUGCUCGAGUGGCGAACGGGUGAGUAACACGUGAGUAACCUGCCCUUGACUUUGGGAUAACUUCAGGAAACUGGGGCUAAUACCGGAUAGGAGCUCCUGCUGCAUGGUGGGGGUUGGAAAGUUUCGGCGGUUGGGGAUGGACUCGCGGCUUAUCAGCUUGUUGGUGGGGUAGUGGCUUACCAAGGCUUUGACGGGUAGCCGGCCUGAGAGGGUGACCGGCCACAUGGGGACUGGGAUACGGCCCAGACUCCUACGGGAGGCAGCGGUGGGAAAUAUGGCACAAGGGGCGGAGGCCUGAUGCAGCAACGCCGCGUGCGGGAGGACGGCCUUCGGGUUGUAAACCGCUUUCGCCUGUGACGAGGCGUGGGUGACGGUAAUGGGUAAAGAAGCACGGGCUAACUACGU
rnacentral:rRNA from 1 species